rfam:Capsicum annuum cultivar Zunla-1 chromosome 6, whole genome shotgun sequence
UGAUGAUGGUGAGGGCAAUUUCUGAUUAUGCUCUUAAAUCUCUCCUAAGAUUGGUAGAGAUUCUCUUCUUUUUUUAUGCUUGAAACUCAGAAUCUCGCUUCUUAAACA